AUUGAACGCUGGCGGCAGGCCUAACACAUGCAAGUCGAGCGGAUGAAGGGAGCUUGCUCCUGGCUUCAGCGGCGGACGGGUGAGUAAUGCCUAGGAAUCUGCCUUGUAGUGGGGGAUAACGUCCGGACACGGGCGCUAAUACCGCAUACGUCCUGAGGGAGAACGUGGGGGAUCUUCGGACCUCACGCUAUCAGCUGACCCUAGGUCGGAUUAGCUCGUUGGUGGGGUAAAGGCCUACCAAGGCGACGAUCCGUAACUGGUCUGAGAGGCUGAUCAGUCACACUGGAACUGAGACACGGUCCAGACUCCUACGGGAGGCAGCAGUGGGGAAUAUUGGACAAUGGGCGAAAGCCUGAUCCAGCCAUGCCGCGUGUGUGAAGAAGGUCUUCGGAUUGUAAAGCACUUUAAGUUGGGAGGAAGGGCAGUAAGUUAAUACCUGGCUGUUUUGACGUUACCAACAGAAUAAGCACCGGCUAACUUCGUG
rnacentral:rRNA from 1 species